AGCCUUGCUCAGUGGCAGUAUCGUAGCCCAUGAAGUCUAUCUGAGGCGCGAUUAUUGCUAGUUGAAAACUUUACCCAAUACCCCGCCUGGACGACCUGCAAUAUGGUCGGCUAUGGCAAUUUUUGACAGUCCCUACGGGGA